GAUGAACGCUGGCGGCGUGCUUAACACAUGCAAGUCGAACGAAGCAUUUAAGACAGAUUACUUCGGUUUGAAGUCUUUUAUGACUGAGUGGCGGACGGGUGAGUAACGCGUGGGUAACCUGCCUCAUACAGGGGGAUAGCAGCUGGAAACGGCUGGUAAUACCGCAUAAGCGCACAGUACCACAUGGUACAGUGUGAAAAACUCCGGUGGUAUGAGAUGGACCCGCGUCUGAUUAGCUUGUUGGCGGGGUAACGGCCCACCAAGGCGACGAUCAGUAGCCGACCUGAGAGCGUGACCGGCCACAUUGGGACUGAGGCACGGCCCCGACUCCUACGGGAGGCAGCAGUGGGGAAUAUUGCACACUGAAGGAAACUCUGAUGCAGCGACGCCGCGUGAGUGAAGAAGUAGUUCGCUAUGUAAAGCUCUAUCAGCAGGGAAGAUAGUGACGGUACCUGACUAAGAAGCUCCGGCUAAAUACGUG
rnacentral:rRNA from 1 species